GCCUCAGUGGCCAAGUGGUAAGGCAUCGGUCUCGUAAACCGGGGAUCCAGGGUUCAAACCCCUGCUGGGGCU